rnacentral:lncRNA from 1 species
UGUCUCAAUUUUUUGUAUUAUUAAUACCGGUAGUUGUUUGUCCCUUUUUGGUCAAUAGUCUGCCGGUAUUCUGAACUUAAAAAGGAAAUUAUGGUUCAAUUUUUUUUUUAACUUGUGGUUAGUAAAAUUCUGAACUUAAAAAGGAAAUUAUGGUUCAAUAUUUUUUUAACUUGUGGUUAGUAAAAUUUGGCCUUCUAGUACAUGUACAGUAUGUACUGACAGUCAUCCAAAUAGUUCAUUAAUAGACUUCUUUUGGACAUUCUUAGCAUGAAGCCGUAUAUGCCCACAGCUUCCAACAAAGAAUGACACCAAGUGGUGCUCUCUCUCUCUCUCUCUCUCUCUCUCUCUCUAUAUAUAUAUAUAUAUAUAUAUAUAUAUAUAUAUAUGUAUAUAUACUAUAGCAUUUUUCAAUAGCUCCUCUAUCCUUAUUCCUACUCUAAAUAGGGAGUAAGAAUCAAAAAAUACACUCGAAUAAACUCCCUCAAGGAUAGCUUAAGAGGAGCAACUGCUACAGUACGUCCCUGCAUUCACCCCCUUUCUCUCUACUCUCAUUUACAUCCUCUCUCAUACUUGUCAAAUCAUAAUUUUCAAAAAGACCUAAAUAAAAUAUAAUAAUAAUAAUAAUAAUGAAAGUUUAUUAUAAUGUCACAGUACACAUCACAUGCCAUUUAUACUCAUUGUAUGGUUGAGAUUGCACUACGUCACCAGUUUUUAGCUGUCAAACUAGUUAUUUUGUAGGUCAAUUACAUUAAAAUACAAUGUAACCAUAAAUUCUUAUAAAAUUAUUUUCUGAUUUAUAACACAGUCACAAUUUUUUUAUAAAAUAUGAUUAUAUCUAUAAAAAUUUAUAAACGAACCAUAAUGAUUCAAAAAAUUUAUCAAACAUAACAAUAUAAUUCAUAACAAAUCGAUUCAUGACAAACCGAUUUCCUACUUGUUACUUUAAGAAAUAAAUACAAGUUGCAUCACAAUGUAUUUAUUUUUUUGGGGGAAUGUAAGAACAUUAUUGAUAAAAAUAAAAUAAAAUAUCACAAGGAAAACAUACCUAAUCAACCAACAGCAAAAUGAAGAACACCUGCAAAAGGACCGGAGAAAGUAGUUCUCUCUUGCACAAAAUAUUCUCCCACCUUGACUUCUGCGUUCAAGAUCGCGAUCAGCAGAACCUGCAAAGACGAAAUGAAAAAAGAAGAUAGAGGAAAUAAAUUAAUGAAAGGCAGGACGCUAUGAAGCUUGAAAAAGACAGGAUCCUUAUAGCUAUCCUCAAUCAUAUGCUUCCAUUUAUGCUUUGUAUUUAUGAUAGACUAUGAUAUGAUAAUUAUGAAGCCACGGACAAGAAACACGUUCUGGGAAAAAAAAGUAUUUUUAACAAAAAAGUGACAAACUUUUCAUUUAGAUUAAGUGGCUUUUUGUAAAAAAAAAAGAAAAGAAAAACAUGAAAAAUAUUAACUAAAAAUAAUAAAACUGCGUACGCAAUCUAAUUCAUCUCAAAACAGGUGUUAAUCAUGUUUAUGAUGAUAAUAAGUUUUUCCUUUUUGCCAAAAUUUUGAGUCUCGGUCACUCCAUACACAAUAUUUCUUUAAAAUCAAGUAUAACAGUAGAUAAUACUCAAUUUUUUUUAAAAAAAAAUUGAAUGAGCCAACAAUCUUAGAUUAUUCUAUUCAAUUUAGGAAUCAUAUCUCUCUUUUAAGUUGAAAGAUAAGAAAUCACAUAUUUAAAAUAAGAUUGUUGUCUAAACGUGAAAUAAUAAGAAUUAUAAAAAUUGUUAGUUGUAUCCCUUGGCCUUGUUUAGUUGAGGGAUUACAUAUUUAAAAUAGUCCUUAUAGUUCAAUGUAGAUAGGGGUAUAUAUUGGUUUGAUUUUGAUCGAUCCGGUUUGAAAAUGUUUAAAAUUAAUCGGUUUAGAUUCGAUAUAUUAAUGGACUGAAGCUGACCAAAAUUUAUAUAGGAUCGGUCGGUUUUGAUCCACUUCGGUUCAGUCUGUCCGAGGUUGGUUUAGGUAAACAAAAGAUUACUUUUUUUUUUUUUUGUAUUUUAUAUGCUAAAAAUGGACAGUUUGAUUAGAACCUCAACGGACGAUCGAGAUCAAAUAUAUGUAUGUAUGUAUCAAUUUGGUUCGGGCUGAUCUUUUUUUUUUUUUUUCAUAUUGAAAUUGAAAACUGAACUUUAGCAAAUCCACGAACUGAAAGAGACCGGUGGAGACUGAAAAACACCAAUUCGAUUCGGUUUUUCAGGUUGCCUUUUUUUCCCUUCCCAAUUCUACAUAUAGAUGGAAUUGUAUCGCACGAAACCAACUUAAGUCCCCUUUAUUCUCAUUAUGGAGCCUAUCCUAAACCUGGAGGGUUUAAAUGAUAUUGUACACUUUUACUUACAAUUACGGUGAGUCUCACCCUUUAUUUUUAUUUAUUUUUUUGUGAAUGGUGGUUUUCACUCUUUAUCUCUUUUUAUCUAUAUCCAAUUAAACAAGAUAUAAAAUAAAUUUUAAUUCCAAUAUUAUUAGUUUUA